AAUAGAUACCUUGGUAGUCCACGCCGUAAACGAUAAGUGCUAGGUGUUAGGGGGUUUCCGUCCCUUAGUGCUGCAGCUAACGCAUUAAGCACUCCGCCUGGGGAGUACGGUCGCAAGACUGAAACUCAAAGGAAUUGACGGGGGCCCGCACAAGCGGUGGAGCAUGUGGUUUAAUUCGAAGCAACGCGAAGAACCUUACCAGGUCUUGACAUCCCGCUGACCGCCAUGGAGACAUGGCUUUCCCUUCGGGGGACAGCGGUGACAGGUGGUGCAUGGUUGUCGUCAGCUCGUGUCGUGAGAUGUUGGGUUAAGUCCCGCAACGAGCGCAACCCUUGUCCUUAGUUGCCAUCAUUCAGUUGGGCACUCUAAGGAGACUGCCGUACAAAUACGGAGGAAGGUGGGGAUGACGUCAAAUCAUCAUGCCCCUUAUGACCCGGGCUACACACGUGCUACAAUGGGUGGUACAAAGGGCAGCAAACCCGNGAGGGGGANCGAAUCCCAAAAAGCCACUCUCAAGUUCGGAUUGCAGG
rnacentral:rRNA from 1 species